rnacentral:rRNA from 1 species
CCUACGGGAGGCAGCAGUGAGGAAUAUUGGUCAAUGGACGCAAGUCUGAACCAGCCAUGCCGCGUGCAGGAAGACGGCUCUAUGAGUUGUAAACUGCUUUUGUACGAGGGUAAACGCAGAUACGUGUAUCUGUCUGAAAGUAUCGUAUGAAUAAGGAUCGGCUAACUCCGUGCCAGCAGCCGCGGUAAUACGGAGGAUUCAAGCGUUAUCCGGAUUUAUUGGGUUUAAAGGGUGCGUAGGCGGUCGGAUAAGUUAGAGGUGAAAUCCCGAGGCUCAACUGCGGAAUUGCCUCUGAUACUGUCAGGCUAGAGAGUAGUUGCGGUAGGCGGAAUGUAUGGUGUAGCGGUGAAAUGCUUAGAUAUCAUACAGAACACCGAUUGCGAAGGCAGCUUACCAAGCUGCUUCUGACGUUGAGGCACGAAAGCGUGGGUAGCAAACAGGAUUAGAUACCCUUGUAGUC